AUUCCAGACACAGAAUGCUGAGAAACGUUGCAGCCCCAGCCCAGCUACACCCGGGUGCAACGUGGAUGUAUCAGAAAACGACAACCCCAGAAAAGCGGGAAAGCCUCUGAGAAAUGGGACUGAAAUGGAACUGAACAUAUUUUUCAGAACACACCAUUUCCUAGUCCUGUCUGAGUCAUCCCAGACCUCUGGGAGCUGGCCAGACUUGAAGGGUAGUCCUCACCAUCCCUCCAGUCAAGACAGACCUGUGAAGGCAACAUGCCUUUUACAAAAGGAACUUUCUCUACAGAAUAGGUUGGUAACUGACACUAGCUAUGAAAAAGCUGUGGAAUCUAACAGGACCUGCUAGAACAAAUACUCCAGACUUCAAGUCUAACAUUUAGUAAACAGAUUUCUUCCCUUUCUUUAAAUGUAAUGAUGCAACAAUGUGGAACCAAGUGAAACUGGCUUUGUGAGUCACCUUCAGAAGCGGCGAAAGGUGGCUUCUCAUUUCCAAAGUUCACAGUUCAACAUGGCCUGCAUAAGUAAUACAAACUGACUGCCACUAAUCUCACCAGAAAUCACCUCUGUCAAGAACUGUGUGAGGAGAGAGGGGACAGAGAAGGAAAGAAAUACGUACCGACUUGCUCUAGUCG
rnacentral:lncRNA from 1 species